UCCCUGCUGGCUCAGACGGUAAAGCGUCUGCCUGCCAUGCAGGAGACCCGGGUUCGAUCCCUGGGUUGGGAA
rnacentral:tRNA from 1 species